rnacentral:rRNA from 1 species
UACGAAGGGGGCGAGCGUUGUUCGGAUUUACUGGGCGUAAAGGGCGCGUAGGCGGCCAUCUUUGUCAGGCGUGCAAAGCCCCGGCUCAACCUGGGAACUGCGUCUGGGACGGGGGUGGCUAGAGAUCGGGAGAGGAGCGUGGAAUUCCCCAGUGUAGAGGUGAAAUUCGUAGAUAUUGGGAAGAACACCGAUGGCGAAGGCGAGCCAUCUGGAUCCGACACUGACGCUGAGGCGCGAAAGCGUGGGGAGCAAACAGG